UCGGGAAUUUUGGGCAAUGGGCGAAAGCCUGACCCAGCAACGCCGCGUGAAGGAUGAAAUCCCUCGGGAUGUAAACUUCGUAAGAACGGGAAGAAUAAGUGAAAGCGAACAGCUUUCAUGAUGACGGUACCGUUUGUAAGCUCCGGCUAACUCCGUGCCAGCAGCCGCGGUAAUACGGGGGGAGCAAGCGUUGUUCGGAUUUACUGGGCGUAAAGGGCGCGUAGGCGGCCACGACAAGUCACUUGUGAAAUCUCCGGGCUUAACUCGGAACGGUCAAGUGAUACUGUCGGGCUAGAGUGCAGAAGGGGCAACUGGAAUUCUCGGUGUAGCGGUGAAAUGCGUAGAUAUCGAGAGGAACACCUGCGGCGAAGGCGGGUUGCUGGGCUGACACUGACGCUGAGGCGCGAAAGCCAGGGGAGCGAACGGGAUUAGAUACCCCGGUAGUCCUGGCCUUAAACGAUGAAUGCUUGGUGUCUCGGGUUAAUAGUCCCGGGGUGCCGGCGCUAACGCAUUAAGCAUUCCGCCUGGGGAGUAC
rnacentral:rRNA from 1 species